rnacentral:rRNA from 1 species
AGCGAACGCUGGCGGCAGGCCUAACACAUGCAAGUCGAACGAUCCUUCGGGAUAGUGGCGGACGGGUGAGUAACAAGUGGGAACGUACCUUUAGGUUCGGGAUAACUCAGGGAAACUUGAGCUAAUACCGGAUAAGCCCUUUUGGGGAAAGAUUUAUCGCCUUUAGAGCGGCCCGCGUUAGAUUAGCUAGUUGGUGGGGUAAAGGCCCACCAAGGCUCCGAUCUAUAGCUGGUCUGAGAGGAUGAUCAGCCACACUGGGACUGAGACACGGCCCAGACUCCUACGGGAGGCAGCAGUGGGGAAUCUUGCGCAAUGGGCGAAAGCCUGACGCAGCCAUGCCGCGUGAAUGAUGAAGGUCUUAGGAUUGUAAAAUUCUUUUAGCAGGGACGAUAAUGACGGUACCUGCAGAAAAAGCCCCGGCUAACUUCGUGCCAGCAGCCGCCGUAAAAC